ensembl:misc_RNA
UUGUCAGACUCACAGAAUGCAGCUUUUUAUUUAUCCACAGAACAGGUACACAAUAGGCAAUGCCAGGACAUGCUUCUGUUACACUAUCCUGCCAAUGUGCUUCAAUCUGGACCCGGAUCAACCACCUCUACAGGUGAGAUUAGUUCAUUAUCCAUUGGCCAUUCAAUCUUUGUCUGCU